rnacentral:lncRNA from 1 species
CUUUGUGCUGUGAAGUUUCUGGUAGACGUCUAUGUGUGUGCGUAGGAGGAAGAAGAUAGAGGAAGAAGAUAGAGGAAGAAGACAGACCUUAAGGGAUGUCGGACAUCCGUUUCACCUUAAACGGAUGUUGACAUCUGUUGACGGAUAAUCAGAUCCGUUUAACGAUUUAGGCUAUUUUUAACAAUAAAUUACAUACCUCUCCGCGCUUA